UUUCCAUGCAGCUUUUCCCAGGCUAGGCAGCCUUGGGAACCACUGAUAGUGUGGCACACCAGGGGCACAGCCUCAAUCACCAAGCACAGGGCAGGGCAGCCUUUUCUGCGGAUAAAAUAUGUGAGGGAUGACAAGAAUCUUCCCAGCAUGGGAAGAGGCAAUAACAAAAAAAAUAUACAAGGGGCUGUAGCUGAAUGUAACAUCCACUGCAGAGCGUGCCUGCAGGCGACACUCAGAUUUGAAAGACAACUGAUUUCUUUUGACAUCCAUUUUUUUUUAAGAAAUAUCUGGCAAGGGAAGGGGUAGAAUUCACACACCUCUGCCUUCACACUACAUCUACUGGAGGAUAUCAUUAACUCUGAGCAGCUGAAAAAUUCAGAUGUUUGGGGAAAUCCUGGUGCCAGUGACGUCAACAAGGGAGGUGACGAUGACUUCAGCAAACCAAGGAAUUCCAGUACUACCAAGCUCAUUAUGUGCCAUCCACACUUGCAAGACCAAGACCCUUCCAGCAAUCCAGACUUGCCCUGGCGCUGGGAAAGUUGUACAAAGGUUCUGUAAAAUGCUGGGGAAAAGGAAGUUCACCAUGGAUGGCUGCAGUAUUUUCUCCUGCCUUCAGCUUCCAGCCCUUGCCCGUAUAAAAAUGUCAUUCACCACUAGAAUUUCAUGCUUAUUUAAUAUCUGUUAGUCACUAUUAAACUGCCAACAGCUAGCUAAAUUCACACUAAUGUUCUUUUAAAUAUGCAGCAGUCCUACCAUUUACAAUCAUUAUGGAAUUAAACUGUAGAAUUAAACUCUCAGGUCAAAUACCUUCACAUAUAUCUACAACAAUAUUAA